GGAAGGCUGAGGCAGGAGGCUAUCUUGAGCCCAGGAGUUGGAGGCUGUAGUGCGUUAUGGUCAUGCCUGUGAAUAGCAACUGCACUCUAGCCUGGGCAACAUAGUGAGACUCCAUCUCUUAAAAUAAUAAUAGAAAUUUCCAUUAAUUAUAUUUGGGCUCCAAUAACCUGGCAUUUAUCCAUUCAUUAAUAUAUAGGCCUACUAUAAGCUAGGCAUUAUUCUAGGAAAUGGUGAUUUUAUAGAAAUGAACAAAACAGAAAUCUUUAUUCAUGGAGCUUACAUGUCUGUGCAUUAGCUUCUCCACCUCCCCGACUCAAGCGAUUCUCCUGCCCCAGCCUCCCAAGUAGCUGGGAUUACAGGCACGCAUCAUGUUUAUAGCUUUGUGCUUUACAUUUAAUUCUAUAAUCCAUUUUGUAUUUUUGCAUAAGGUGUGAAGUUUAAUGGAAGAAAAUACAAUAAAUUUUAAUAGCAGUUGCUUUCAGUUGGGAAAACACAAGGUUUUUCUACUUUUCUACUUUUAUUUACUUCUGUAAAGUAUCUUUAACAAGGAUGUGUAACUUUUACAUAAGCAAAGGGAGAGGAAGCCCACAGAAAGAGGAUGUCAAAGAAAAUGUAUCUAACUUCAUCAGAUGUUAUGAGAAUUUCAGUGAUGGUAAAGUGCUUCACACAGGGCCUAGUACCCUCAGUAAAUGAAAGCUAUUAUGAAUAAGUACCAUGAUAAAGUAUCCAGUGAUGUGUGGUUUUAGGGAUGACCACUAAUUUGCCACAGUAUUUUCAUUAUUCAAGAUACACAGAAUUUUAACAUCAGAAAAAUCUAAUUACUUUUCUUUAAAUGUAAAUCAACCUUACCUUCCGCAGUUCCACUGUCACUUCAUUUCUAUGUCUUCGCAUUGUCUAGAAAAGAAAAACAAAGAUUACAGAUGUAUCAAAAUACGGACACUGCUAGUAUAUAAAGAUCUCAGCUGGGUGCAGUGGCUCAUGCCUAUAAUCCUAGCACUUUGGGAGGCCGAGGCGGGCAGAUCACUUGAGGUCAGGAGUUCAAAACCAGCUUGGCCAACAUGGCGAAACCUAGUCUCUACUAAAAAUACAAAAAAAAUUAGCCGGGCUUGGUGGCAGGCACCUGUAAUCUCAGCUACAUGGGAGACUGAGGCAGGAGAACUGCUUGAACCCGGGAGGCGGGGGGAUGCAGCAAGCCGAGGUGGCGCCAGUGCACUCCAGGCCUGGGCGACAGAGCGAGACUGCAUCUCAAAAAAAAGAAGAAGAAGAAAAAAAAAAACUCAGGUAUUUGAGUUAGAAGUCAUUUAAUAUUGGCUGGGUGCAGUGGCUCACACCUGUAAUCCCAGCACUUUAGAAGGCUGGAGGAUCACUUGGGGCCAGGAGUUCGAGAUCAGCCUGGCCAACAUGGCAAAACCCCAUCUCUACUAAAAAUACCAAAAUUAGCUGGGUGCAGUAGCACGCCCCUGUACUCCCAGCUACUCCUGGAGGCUGACGCUCAAGAAUCGCUUGAACCUGGGAGACGGAGGUUGAAGUGAGCUGAGAUCAUGCCACUGCACUUUAGCUUGAGUGACAGAGCGAGACUCUGUCUCAAAAAAUAAAUAAAUAAGAAGAAAUUUAUAAUCUCAAUGACUGAUACAUCUUAUACUUUAAAUGAUGAGCUACAAUUAGUUAAAAAGCCAAAUUCUGUAUUUACUGGAUAUCUGUUGGUUAAUUUUGUGGAAGGUGGGACUUGGCUGCCUAGGACCCAUUUCCCUGCCCUAACUGUACCCAGUCAUCUUUGGGGAAUUACAUCCUUCCCAUCCUGUAGUC
rnacentral:lncRNA from 1 species